rnacentral:SRP_RNA from 1 species
CCGCACUAUCCGGGGAGUUAGCGGUGCCCUGUACCCGCAACCCGCUGUAGCGGGGGAGAAUUCCCACACGAGGGCCCCCUUUGUGCGGACUGCCCGGCGGGCGGUGGUGUUGAGAAGCAGGUCUCGCGCAAUGGUCCUCCGUGAACCAUGUCAGGCGGGGAACCGAGCAGCAUUAAGCGGAUUCGAGCAUGUGCCGCGAGGAAGCCUGUUUUGAGCCAUCCCUGCCGGUUACGCGCAUAACGGUCGGUUCGACUGUGGGUGUGCGG